rnacentral:lncRNA from 1 species
AUGGAGUCGUUGAAGUACAGCAAAAGAGAAGCUGCAAUAAAGGAAGAGAAGACACUGUCCAAGAAGAGCGCACAUGAGGAUGAGGAGCCACACCCUAAAAGAGGGGUGUCAAAGCAAGAACCCAAUACUUCAGAGGUAGCCUUGACAGAAGGUGGGGCUCCAGAGCAGUUUGAGUUUCAGUAUGGACUUGAGGGACCAGCAUUUGAGAAUGGGGAGUCCUCCAAGAGCCAUCUGUCCAUCAUCAAAGUAGAACAACUGGACUCCCUCCUCCCAGACCAAACAGACUCCAGCUGUGGUUCAGGGUCACCUGGGGAUUCGGGGCCUCCUGGCUCAUCUGGUUCUGGGUCCAAUACUAGUCUGGCUUCACAGUUUUUCAAGAAGUGCCACCAGGCAGGCUGCACACAAUUCAUCUUCUCGGAGUUCGCCUCCCGCCUCAGCAUCAUCACUGAGAGGAUUGCAUCCCAGCAGGCCAGCGAGGAAGAUUUCAACCUCACCCUGAAAGUGCUGGAGGCCUCUGGGAUGCUGCCAGAGAUCUUUACCAAAAGAGAUCAAGAAAUGGAGAAGAGACUGGGGGAGCUACAGAGAGAGACUGUAGCGGUGAGGACUGCCAGGUCUGCCAUGAGAGAUGCUUGCGUCAUGAGCUUCACCUCAUCAUGACAGCACCGCUGAAGAUCAAAGCAGUUUUAUAAGGUGUUAUAACCAGGGCCUGGGUUUUCUGACAACUUGACUGAACUAGGAAGGUAUAGGACCUGGAGUUUUCCCUGGUCAAAUCCCCUCGUCAGGAAAAACGGGUCCUCCUUUUAACCAAAAUGUAAAUAUUUCAAACCUUUUGUAUUUGACAUAUUUUUCUACCCGUGUUCAAACUUGACCUCUGUGAUAUUUGACUCUGAUAUUUGAACUCUGACAUUUGAAUGCAGUUUUUCACCCUGGCCACUAACUUGAGUGGUAUGUUAUACCUUAAAUUGGUCAUAUAAUCUUUUGACAGACAUUGGUUAUGAGGUUAUUGGUGAUGUUUUGAUGUUAGUAGGUGAUCCUUAGUCUACCCCUCUGUACUGUAUGUUAUAUGCGCACUAACCCUUAACAGACUUACUAUAGCCUAAUAUACUGAAUGUGCAAAUUAGUCAAUUUUUUUGACUGUUACUAUGUCCACUAGUACAAUGAGAUCAACUAUUUAGAAUACACUAAUAUAGUAUACUUGAGAGUAAAGUUGAGACCUGAAUGAAUUAAACUUGUUAUGUAAAUGGUGUGAUUAUUUCAGAUUAAAAAAUGUCCUGGACUUGACUUAUUAGACUUUUUACAGUAAAUGGUACAAAUUACAAGGUUUCUGCACAUGCUCUACAGUGGAAAGGGAGAAAACAACUAAGUGGCAAACAUGAUUUCUCAGAAUGUAUUGUUACACCAGGGUUCCCCAACUUUUCUGAGAAAAACAUAUUUAAACAUUUUAAUUGUUUGACACAAAACACCCGGAAAUGAGCUCUAAUUGAUUUUAACUUAAAUAUGUUCCCAACUAUUCAUAAGCUUAAUAGGGACACGUGAUGGUAACAAGUCAGCAAGGUUUAAAAUUAACCGCGUGGUGGCGGUGGGGUGAUGGUACACCAUUGCAUUUUAUCGAUGGAAAUUUGAAUGCACAGAAAGACCAUGACGAGAUCCUUUUAUUUUAGGGUAUCUUUGACCAACAGAUGCAUAUCUGUAUUCCCAGUCAUGUGAAAUCCAUAGAUUAGGGCCUAUUUUAUUUAUUUCAAUAGACUGAUUUCCUCAUUAACUUAGUAAAAUCUUAAACAUUGUUGCGUUUGUAUUUUUGGUAAGUAUAGUUGACGAUCCCUGCCGUUUACUGAUGGCAGUGCACAAUGCCCUCUUGCACCCCCCAAGUAGAAUGAAACUAAAACCACACCGAGACUUGCCUCGACAACAUUUCUGAAGAAGCGAAACCGGAUGCCCUGCCAACACGGAAUUUCUUAGUGGCAGACUGGCGGAGUUUGGCGCGAACAAUUUUCUGAUUUGGGGAAGUUGUUGCGAAAGAU